AACGAACGCUGGCGGCAGGCCUCAAACAUGCAAGUCUAGGGGGUAGCAAUACCACCGGCGGACGGGUGCGUAACGCGUGGGAACAUACCUUUCGGUACGGAACAACCCAGGGAAACUUGGGCUAAUACCGUAUACGCCCUUACGGGGAGAGAUUUAUCGCCGAAGGAUUGGCCCGCGUUCGAUUAGCUAGUUGGUGAGGUAAAGGCUCACCAAGGCUACGAGCGAUAGCUGUUCUGAGAGGAAGAUCAGCCACACUGGGACUGAGACACGGCCCAGACUCCUACGGGAGGCAGCAGUUGGGAAUUUUGGACAAUGGGGGAAACCCUGAUCCAGCCAUGCCGCGUGAGUGAUGAAGGCCUUCGGGUUGUAAAACUCUUUCGACGGGGACGAUAAUGACGGUACCCGUAGAAGAAGCUCCGGCUAACUUCGUGCCAGCAGCCGCCGUAA
rnacentral:rRNA from 1 species